rnacentral:rRNA from 1 species
CCUACGGGCGGCAGCAGUGGGGAAUAUUGCACAAUGGGGGAAACCCUGAUGCAGCGACGCCGCGUGAAGGAAGAAGUAUUUCGGUAUGUAAACUUCUAUCAGCAGGGAAGAAAAUGACGGUACCUGACUAAGAAGCCCCGGUUAACUACGUGCCAGCAGCCGCGGUAAUACGUAGGGGGCAAGCGUUAUCCGGAUUUACUGGGUGUAAAGGGAGCGUAGACGGCAGUGCAAGUCUGGAGUGCCGGAGGGGUAGGCGGAAUUCCUAGUGUAGCGGUGAAAUGCGUAGAUAUUAGGAGGAACACCAGUGGCGAAGGCGGCCUACUGGACGGUGACUGACGCUGAGGCUCGAAAGCGUGGGGAGCAAACAGGAUUAGAUACCCCUGUAGUC